UACAGAGGUCUCAAGCGUUGUUCGGAUUCAUUGGGCGUAAAGGGUGCGUAGGCGGCGCGGUAAGUCGGGUGUGAAAUCUUGGAGCUUAACUCCGAAACUGCAUUCGAUACUGCCGUGCUUGAGGACUGGAGAGGAGACUGGAAUUUACGGUGUAGCGGUGAAAUGCGUAGAUAUCGUAAGGAAGACCAGUGGCGAAGGCGGGUCUCUGGACAGUUCCUGACGCUGGAAGCAACGAAGGCCCAGGGGAGCAAACGGG
rnacentral:rRNA from 1 species